rnacentral:rRNA from 1 species
CGAAAACCUUACCUGCCCUUGACAUCCUCGGAACUUGUCAGAGAUGACUUGGUGCCUUCGGCACAUCGGUGACAGGUGGUGCAUGGUUGUCGUCAGCUCGUGUCGUGAGAUGUUGGGUUAAGUCCCGCAACGAGCGCAACCCCUAUUGUUAGUUGCCAUCAUUCAGUUGGGCACUCUAGCGAGACUGCCGGUAAUAAACCGGAGGAAGGUGGGGAUGACGUCAAAUCAUCAUGCCCCUUAUGACCUGGGCUACACACGUGCUACAAUGGUUGGUACAACGAGUUGCGAGUCGGUGACGGCGAGCUAAUCUCUUAAAGCCAAUCUCAGUUCGGAUUGUAGGCUGCAACUCGCCUACAUGAAGUCGGAAUCGCUAGUAAUCGCGGAUCAGCACGCCGCGGUGAAUACGUUCCCGGGCCUU